AGUGAGUUUGUAUGUGUGUUUGUCAGUGAGAGUGUAUGUGUGUUUGUCAGUGAGUGGGUAUAUGUGUUUGUCAGUGAGAGUGUAUAUGUGUUUGUCAGUUAGUGUGUAUGUGUGUUUGUCAGUGAAAGUGUAUAUGUGUUUGUCAGUGAGUUUGUAUUUGUGUCUGUCAAAAAGUGUAUGUGUGUUUGUCAGUGAGAGUGUAUAUGUGUCUGUCAGUGAGUUUGUGUGUGUGUCUGUCAAAGAGUG